UUUCUUGUGCUAGCAGUGCUAACUAGGUGCAUCUCAUGCAGAGUAUACUCGGUAGCCAAUCUGAAAAAUGAUGAACAUGAGGAAAAAAAGAAAAGAAGGGCAACCCGGCGCACUAAGCUCCCGCUAUGCGCAGGGAACAAAUGAUAAUUAAAAAUUACUUGUACAACAGACUCAUAUUCACAAGGGAAUAGAUAGCAUAAAGCUUGAAGUUUCGCUAAUACUAGAGAGAGCCUACCUUAGACAACUAAACAGUGACCAGAAAGAAAAAAAAUGGAGAAUAACUUAAACAACUAAUAUACAUAUUGCUAAUUCCCUCGAUAUGUCAAACCAUAAUGAGGAAGAACUAAAGACUCAGAGACCCGAGUCAACUAGCUAAGUUACAGUGUCCCAACUGGAUCAUAUAAUAUAACCAGUUAGUACACAGUACACGCCUACGGACUAAGGAUGCUUCAUAAAGACCCUUUUGUUGAGAAACAUGAACACGGCAAAGUUCAGAAGGCAAGUGGCGAUUUCAAUGAAUAGUUAAUCCGAUCACUAGCUUCCUCCAAUAAUAAUGCCAUCUACUUAAUCAAAUUCAUUCAUCUGCGUCGUACUAAGCCAGAGUGAUGGUGAGCUUUGCUAUCAUUCUGUAUCCCUUCCACAUAAAUUGGCAGUAGAAUGAUCUCAGAGAUCUCAUUCAACAACACUUCUUCAGUGAUGUUGUCAGUAAUACUUCUCAAAACCUAAAUUUUGCCGUACAGGAACCAAAAUUAGUCUACUAGGUUGCUAACUAUCUAAUAUAUGACAAAAUAUGGAAAAGGUUAUAUUAAAGCACAAGUCUACGUAUCAAAAAAUCAACCCGUGAACUUAGUAUUUGCCAAUAAAGCAAGUACCUUCCUGUACGUGUUGUAAUCAUUUGGAGUUCCUUUAUCAAUUCUGGUCCUCAUCCACACCCAUUCUUGGUUAUUGGAAUCCCAAGAACACUCUAUUAUUUUACCCAAGUAAUCUGACGGGUCAGAACUAUCUGUAACCAUGAAAGAAACCAAUUUCAGAACAUGCACCAGCGUAUAAACGCCAGCCAAGCAGGAAACCCGAGUUCACGGGAUACAAAAUAAAGUGCAGGAGAACUGCUCAGAUAUGCGUCUACAAGGACAGCAGAAUAGACAUUUCGCUGGAUGUUUAUAUCAUCACUGCUAGUAUCAGUAACUCCAAGCAACAAGAACCAACUAUUGGAAAGACCAUUUUAAAGAGCAAGAGAAGAAACAAAGCUGUUGAACUCCUGUCAAAAGCCUGAGAGGUGCACAUCCUAUUCUGACAAGCAUGAUCUUGUUAAUCAAAAAUUCACAUAAAGACUAAUGUGACACCCUAAAUGUGGAUUAUCUGGUUCACGGUCACGUGCAACAAGGAAUUCCCAUAUCUGUGCUUCCAUGUACUUUUCCUGAAAAUGUAAACAAUCUUCUACUGGCACUUGAUCCAUUGAGAACCUUACCGUAAAUUCCAAAUAAUCCCACUAACAUAUCCGACCUUUUUCAACUUUAGCAACUGAUUCAAUUUCAAGUUGUGGAUGAUCCACGUUCUCAUUACUAAGAAUCAACUAUAAAAGAACAAAAAAGUUUAAAAGAACAAGAUUACGCGUCUUGAACUUAGUGGAAAGUUGGAUUAGAAGAGGAUCAGUUGUCAAACAGCAAUGCUGCCUUAGUUUAGCCACAGCAGCAAGUACCAACAGAAAUUUUUAUCCACAAUCUUAUUACUAUUUAGCAACUCACAAGUAUCAAAAAAGGAAUCUUGGCAAUCGAAACAGAGCAAGUCGUGAAAUAGCCUCCACUAGAUCACACAUUGAAUGCAGGUUACUCACUCAAAUACGCGAACCGCAUCCGAUUCCCCACAAAACAUCAUCCACCUAGAAGUUUUACUAAGCAAUCACAUCCAUCCAGGUCAGGUAAAAUAAACAAGACAGGAAAAAAAAGACUAAACGAUUUUUUCCUUUUUUUUUUUUUGGUUAAGUCAAUAAAAACUAAACGAGCAUGGGAUGCAGAUGAUAUCCGCCUCCUAUAUUCCCACAAACCCCAGAUUGAGGGAAACCUUCCUGCAUGAUACCACAGGAGAUUAACUAAUACAACAUGGAUUUCUAACCUGGGAAAACGACUCUAUUCCCUUCCAUCAGUUUCUUCUUCCCUCGUUCAUGUAGAUAAAGCAAUUCACGACCGUCAACCACCUGUUUUAUCACACUAAUAUGAGAGAAUAAAGCAUGAUUCGUUUAACAGCAGCCAUUCCACAUAAAGAGUGGAAGACAAAUGACAUUUGACAGGUCAAGGGGUAAGGAAAAAACAAAAAUAAGAACCAAAACGGCAAAGAGGAAAUGGAAACAGCUCUAGUCACUAAGAGAGCAGAGAACACUACCUCAAACAGGAAGUCAACCGAGUUCAUCUCGGGGUAUUUCCACUUCAACAGACCAUGAUGCGUGAGAGGAACAUAAGGAUCUAGCCAACCCUAAAAAGGAAAGAAAACAGUAGCUGAGUGUCAAGAACCUAAAAUGAUUAGAUUUGUACGAUUUAUGUCUCUGUUUCUGUUACUGUAAGCCAUAAAUAUGUCAUAUGUCAAUUAAAUGAAUGAGGAUGUGCUAGCAUCUCUAAUACUUCUCUGCAUCACAACAUAAAUGCAGAAUAAACGUUGAAAACAUCUUCCAAACAGAGGUCCCCAACAAAGCAAUCAAGACAUACAUGCCAUACAACUUGGAGACAUCAGAUAUCUGAAGGGAUGUAAAAACUUAACUCCUGCGGGG
rnacentral:lncRNA from 1 species